rnacentral:misc_RNA from 1 species
UUUCCGUAGGUGAACCUGCGGAAGGAUCAUCAAUAAAUCCAAAUUAUUCACCCUUGUGAACUGUGUGCUGGAGUCGAUGCGUUUCGCUCGAUUCUCAUGGCGCUUUCAUGGUCGUAGAUUAGUUAAAGGUUUAACUGCUACGAGCUUGUUUUCGUUUAUUCAGAAUGGUGGCACUUUUCGAGAGAGUUCUCCCGAAGCGGUGCCAAUAUUUUGUUUGAGCCUGAAUUUGCUUGGUUAGAUUCCUUACUUUUCGGCGAUCCGCGUCUAGCAAAAAACUCCUAAAAUCAUACAAGCUAAAGCAAAACAUAAUAAUUAAACAACUUUCAACAAUGGAUCUCUUGGCUCUC